GGGUCUCCGACUCGCAGCAACCUCCACGCCGGUGAGACCUGGGAAAUCAUUAUUAUUUACUAUACAAUUCAUAAUUAUAUCAUACGAUACAAUUAUAAAUUUUAUAGCGAAUAAUAUGAGCUAAUGGCUGCGAACGCGAAUAUAUUUUUCAUAUGUAGAAAGUUUAUUAAGAAAUUGAAAUUAUGCAUUAAGUAGAUUUUAGUCUCGUACUUUUUACGCGGUUUAUUUUUAUUCGUGUGUUUAGAUUAUAGCAUAUUGAUGGCGCUAGAAUCUCAUUCCGAUGUUUUUCGAUAUUUCAAAAUAUGCGAUACGAAUUCCCGUAUGAUAUCCCGUAUGAUAUUUUAUUCUCGUCUCUGACGAUUCGUUCAAUGAUUGAAGGAUAAAGUAGAUAAAAGAAUCGAUCGUUAGUGCCCUCUCUUGGCACUUUUAGGCAAAUAUUUUUGAUCACUUGCAAGAUAAUAGCUAAUUUUUAUCCUACUUUACCCCUUGUUUCUGGAUUUGCCAUCUCAAUAAAUGCAUCUCGCGCUUAUUCCGUACUUUAUCUGUUAGGAAUUAAUUAUUAUUUGCCAUCUUUCAAAUGUCAAUGAAGUUUUCGAAGAUUUGAUGAUAAAGUAGAUUUAGAAUUGAAAAUCUGCUUUAUCUCUUGAUGAAUGAAGAAUUCAUUUUCCUUAGAAAUGUUGGCACUCAAUUCUUUUGUUAGUUCAUCGUUUUUGGAGAGAUGGCGACAGUUGUCGCUUUUAGCUCUUCUCUAUCCUUGUCGUAAUAUUUGUUUUUCUUGUCUAUACGUGUUUCAUCGGUGACGCGAAGAUGGCGUUAGUUCCUCAAUUUUUCUGUUUUUCUUCUUCAACAAACUGUGUUAAUUCUUCGAUUUCGAACGUUUCUUUUUCCCCUUCUUUGUUUUCACUUGUUCUUAGGAAAUAUUAUUAAGGUUCACAACAGAUUCACAUUAAAAUGCAUGGAAUACUUUUUCGAUUUAGAUUUUGAAAUCAAGAUUAUGAAAUAAGUAAUUUUAGGAAAAUUCAAGAAUAAUUAAAUUGUAGUUUUUUUUAUCAUUUGCACUCAUACACACAUUUAUAUAACAAAUAUAACAAAAUUUGUAUAAAUUAUAUAAUAAAAUUUAUUAAGAUAUCUUAUUUAUAAAAUUUAAGGUUUUUUAUUAUCGAUACAAGGAUUAAAUAUUUAAUUUUAAUUUUUCAGAUCUUGAAGUGUCUCAUGUUUUUUCUAAUAUAUUAUUCCUAAUAUUACAAUUCGUUGUAAUCAUCUUUUAUCAUCGUUUAAUUGUUAUUAUGAUUGGAAGCAAUUGAUCAGGAUAAGUUAAACAUGUGAUCAGAUGUCUCGAAAAUGCAACAUCGAAACAUAAAUAUUAUUAUCAUCCAUCGACAAACCGAUCAAUUAUGACAAUAAUCUUUUAGAUUAAUAAUAUGAUCUGGUUAAUUGUGAUUUAACGUUUGAUUAAUGUCAGCUGAUAUUGGACUGUAGACAGAUUCGUAGCACUAUUAAUAAGGCAAUCGCCAUCAGUGAAGUAUGGCCUGCUUAUGGAAGCUGGUAGCAAACAAGGUCACUUUUCUGACAGGAUCAUUGUACACCUGUCCGGUUAAAUACCCUAUUAAAAUGGUGAACGUUGUUCGAUCCAAUCUCUCUCAUUUAUUUUAAAUAUCUUACCAUUUUUGAUUGUGUGUUCUACUUUACACAUUAUUGCAUAUUAUUAUGCAAAUAUUUCGUUUUUUUUAAGUAUUCUAAUAUAAUUAAUUAUAAUAUUUUUUUGUAAUUUUUUUUUCAUAUGAAAAAUUAUCAAGACUGAGUUGUUUAGCUCAAAAUGAUGUAAAAUGAUAAUGAUUGGUGAUAAUGUGUAUAGUACAAUAGUAAUUUUAACUGAUAGAGAAUUAUUAUGUAUACGUUAAAUGUUCAUAGUAUGUCAAUCUUCAAAUGAUCUUUAAGAGAAAAAUUGAAAUUUAAGGAAAAUUGGAAUGUUAAACAUUCGUAAUUUUGAUAUUUAAUUGAAAGAAAGAAUGAUUAAGAUAUGAUAAAAUAUGGUAAUGAAACGUAUUCCGGUAAUUUGAAUGACACGAAAUUAUUCUUUUGCAUUUCAUUCAUUUUUGAGAUUAUACUCAUAUUUUAUGGGGGGUUGCGUAUAUUAAGUUUUCAACAAAAAAGUAUAUUUUAUAUUUGAAGGAAAUUACAAUUAGACGAAAUGAUUAAUAAUAAUGACAAAAAUGAAGUUCAAAAUAUAAUUGAAUUUAUCUUUUAGUAAUUUUUUAAGAAACUAAUUUAUUAAAAAUUAUAUAUUUUAAAAACAAUACAAAAAAAAGUUUAAUUAUAAUUUCUUUUUUUUUUUACAUUCAUAUUAAUUAAAAUGUUUUUACCGAUACGAAAAAUAAUUAUUAUAUUUUCAUCUAUUUCGAAUGCUUUAUCAAACUUUAUCUUUCGCUACUUUGAAGCGAAAUCAAUCCACCGUGAAAGAAAAAAAAUAAAUGUUUAUUAUUUUAAUAUUCAAUCAAAGUCAAAUAAAUUCUAUGAAAAUUAAAGAGUACUCGGACCGCGAUUUAAUUCAUAAUUAGUUUCUUAUUACCGAACGGGUUAAAAAAUAGAGUCAUCGCGGAAAUACGAACAACUUGACCCAGUUCUGUCAAUUAGUUAUGGUGGCUAAAUUUGAGGCUGCUGUUACUGCUCAGGCUUAUUCUUUCCUUCAUCAUCUUCUACUUUACUUCGUGCAAAUAUUUAACGAUAUCCAAUACACGAGAUAUAUUUUUUUUUUAAUUUCUGCAGCUUUUAAUAAUCCUCAUGUCGAAUUUAUUGAUCGUUUUAAUAAGAAACUCAAAGCAAUGUUAUGGAGCUUUUAAAAUUACAUUUCUACAACUUCGUGACAUAUAAUUUCAAUAUUCGAAAUAUUUUAUAAUAUUCGAAAAAAAAUUAAACAAAUAUUAAAAGACGUUUUUAUAUCGAGAAUAAUUUCAUUUUUAAACAGCUAAAAUAACUAGAUAACAAAGUAAUUGAAAUUAGAAUAAAGCUGUAUUUUAUAUUAAGAUGAAACGAAUAAACACUUGUGCAGAUUAAGUGUUUAAUUAUUAAAUGAAUGAUUUGAAACUUUAAAAUGCAACAUACGUAUUCGUGAAACAUGAGAAAAAAAAUAAUAAAACUACAUGAAAUGCAAUUGAGUAAAAUCGUGUUCUACUGAUUUGUAACGGUAUGUUAGCUCCAUUAAAAAAAAUUAUAAUUUUCUGGUCAAUAUUCCUACAUCACUGAAGCGUUCCCUAUUGGUUUAACAACAAUUACAUUCCGCCUCGACAAUUUUUAUGUAGUUGAUGAAUCCAAUUAGCCAUCAGCUGAUCGAAAUCUGUGUCGUUUUUUGUCCAAUUAUAUCGAUUAAAAAUAUAAUCAGUAUUACUGAUAAUAAUUUUAAUCUUAAUUAUGACAAAUAUACGGAUAUUGAAUAAUAGUUAGUUAUGCUCUCAAUUAUCGUUGAAUAAAUUAUUCAUCUUAUCGAAUUUUCCUAAUUCAAAAUAAGAUAUUUAUUACUUGAAAAAUUAACACCAUUCCAUUAUUUUAUGACGGUUGAAACGUAUAGUCGCGUCAUGUACAUUUUUCAAAUAUGAAAAAUGAAAAAAAGCUUUUCACAUAUUCGCUUUUUUUUUAUUUUUUUAUAACAUAUGCUCAGUAUAAACGUUAUCAUUAAUAUGCGUAGUUGUUUCAUUGUAUUUUUCGUACGUAUCAAAAAUCCAAUUUAUCAAAGAUAUCUCUCUUCGAUUUUUUUUUUCAUUUAAUUCUUUUCUCUUUCGUCUACAUUAUAUAUAUAUUAAAAAUUUCAAUCGUUCGUAUCAUUAAUUCAAACAAAGCUUUUCUUUAUCGAAAAAAUUCCAGGUUUUCCAUGGUCGUAUCAAUAUUUGUGAAAACGAUCGUUCCUUGGCGGAAGUGCACGGCAUCCUAGCAGUUUUAAAGCUACCGCCGGAUGCACCACGGAGGCCGUAAGGUCGCUCAAGUGGCGUGCAGUCGAUUGUCCCAAUUCCAGUUGGAAAUCGAUAGCGACGCCGGAAAAUUUAUUUGCAAACGCGGCCUGGAAUCGACGACUAACCGAGUAUCGUAUUCCGAGGAAAAAUCUGUUCGAUUCUACUCAAACGUUCUGAAUCCGAUCGACUAUGAUCGAACAAGAUUAUUUUUCUAUGAAAAAAAAAAAAAAGGAAAAAAACUUGACGUUGAAACAAGAUUUUAUCGGAAAACUGAUUUUCCAUGUAUCAAAAUUUCGCGAUAUCGAUAGAGAAAUGAUUAAUAUUUUUAUUACUAUUUAUUAUUCUCUUGGAAGUAUAUUCAUAUUCUUUUUGAAAUUCCAUUUCAAGAGUUGUGGCAAAGUUAUAAUCUGAUUUUUCUAAUUAUCUAGGAAGCUGUUGGUUUAUACGUUUGAAUAUUAAUAAUUAUUAUUAUAAUAAAAGAUAUAUAUAUCGACCGUCGAGGCAAGAAAUAUCGAUAAAAUGCGAAUGUGAAUAGAUUGAAAAUAAUUUUCACAAGCAUAUAAGGAAAAUGAAUAUGGAUUGUGCUUCUGUGGAAAUAGAUUCAUUUCAAAUGCGACGUAUAAGAAAUUGAAUUCGUACUUCGCAUCAGUGCGAUGUUGAUUGAAAAUAAGGUGGACGAUCAAAUUUCAAAUACGCAAAAACUUCAUCGAGUAAUCCUACUCAGAACGUAUUAUUUGCAUUUCAACGAGAGUUUUCGUUACGUUUCUGCAAUAAUAAUAAUUCCGCAAAAAUAACAAAUUAUAAAAUGAACAUUAUUUAUUUUAUUAUCUUGAUUUAACAAAUUUUUAUUUACAAAACUUGGUUUCCUGGUAAAUUAAAAAUUCUUGGGAUAUAAGGCUUGUUAUUGCGGAACGAUACUGUGAAAAUAUCCCUUAUAAACGUGUAUCUAAUUAAAUUUUGAUUAUGUAAAGUUCAUCAACCUAGAUAUUAUAUUUAAUUAUAAUUAAUAGAGCGAGCGGUUAAGGGAAAAUUAUAUUAUUUUAUGAUAUUAGGAGAUUUUUACAAAUAUUCUUUAUAAUAUACACUUUAUUCUAUAUUUUCGAAUAACUUUUAAAAGUAAAAUUAUUACAUCUCAUUUUCGCCUGGAAAUUUUUUUUAUCUAAUAUUUAAAUAAUAAUAUAAUUUAAUAGUCAAUUCAAUAGCACGCGAAACAUAUUUCAUCGAGAAAUUCCAUAUAUCACGGUCAUUAGAAAUUUAUUUAAACUUUUUGCAAAUUAUAAUAUAAAAGAAACUUGCAAGAAAACAGUAGACAUCGAUCAUCGAAACAUCAAUCGAUCACAACUAAAUUCGAAGGUAAUUAUUCUCACCUGUUCCAGUCAAUAUCUGGUGAUACGAUAAAUUAAAGUUGUUGAAAUCGCGUCGAAAUCACGGCAUUUAUAUAAAAAGAAAAAAAAAAGAAAAAAAAAAGAAAAGGAAAAGGAAAAAAGCAAAAAUGAAGGAAAUAUUGUGAAAUAUAAAUAGGACGAUUUCGUAUUAAGUCUGAUGAUGGUUUCCAAGAACACUAUGAUGACCUUUUUCGUAAGCGAGCAGGCAUCGUGCCAGCUGUGAUCUACCUAGAUCAUUUCUUUUUUACCGGACAUAAAAACAGAAAAGAGGAGAAAAAAGAGAGAAAAAUGUAUGUCGCUCCUUUUGUCCACCAUCGAGAAAAAUGGUGGAAUUUGCAUUUUAUCAUAGAAACGUAUGUUUUAAAUUUGGAAAUUUGGACGAGAUUUAAUAUUUUUCUUCUUUCUUAUAUACACGGAAGAAUCUCGGUAUAUCUUUAAUAAAAGGGAUGUGAAGCUUGUAAUAAAUAGACGCGAAAAAAUUAUAAAUAGAAAUAUAAAUCAUUGUGAAAUAGAUAAAAAUUGAUAAAGAUAUCGGGAUAGAAUUUUAUCAAGGAAUAAUACGUUCGUGAGAUUACAAAAAUUUGUCUUUUUGAUCGAACAUUUGCAUUUCAUCACGUUUCAUUAACAACUUUAAUGAAAAUGAUAAUUUUUUUCGAACGAAACAGCAACUAUAUAUAUAUAUUUUCGUAAAAAAGAAGCUUUUUUCUAAAGAAAUUUCUCUAAAGUAGCGGAAGAAUACUUACUCCGUAAAUUGAGUUUUGAACGAAUAGCCGAGGGAUAUUACCGCGAGAUAAAACGUUUACAAUCUAUAAAAAUUAAAAAUAUUAUACAUAUAUUAUCCACGAUAAAAAAAAAUAUUUUUCAUUCAUGUCAGCCGUAGAAAAUAUUUUAAACAAAUAUAAAUAAAAAUAUACAUUACCUGUAAUUUCAUAUUGAAAGGAAUCGUCUUUUUAGAGAAGAUAUAUGUGAAAAUAUCGAGCAAGCUUUCCUCGUCAUUUUUCAUUCUUGAUGCAAGUUUUCUUGGUGCUCUGAUUGGACAUUUUCUUCGAUGACUAUUUUAUCAUGGGACAUUAUCAUCGUAAAGACAUCACGCUUGAUAUAACGUUGUUUGAUCUCUUUCACAAUAAAUAUUUACAAUAUAAUGGAAAAUGUCCAUUGAUAAAAAUGUUGUUAUCAGAAGAUGUCAAUUCUAUAAUAAUUCAAAUUGAUGGUUGGUGGCGUGUUAUUUAUGCAUGCGGAAAGUGAACGAAUAAAUAAGAGUUACAUUUCAAGCAAGAGUUGUUGGAAAUAAUUAUAGAAUUAUUUUUAAUCAAAUAUUAUAAAAUAACAAUAAAGAUUUAUUUAUUACAAUGGCAAUUAAAAUUAUUGAAAAUAUAACGCUUUCCUUGACUGGCUAAGAACAAUAAAAAUUACAUAACUGUGAUUUAUUUUUGGAAAUUUAGAUAAUCGACUUGUAAAUUAAAUUACAUUAUACUCAUUGUUCUUUUUACAAUGAUUUGACACCAAGUGAAGAUAAAAGCAUUUCAUGCAUACAACAAAGAACGCAAUUUGUUACAUUUUGUUAAAUGUAUCAUAUCGUACGUUUUCUUAAGCGUGUGUGAACGAAUAAAAUCGCAUGAUUUUACGAACGUUACAAAAUCAAACAUAUCCGACAAAUAACUUUCCAAAAUAACUUUUGUGAUGUGAAUCUAAUCUAGAUUCCGUUUUUACAAAUCUAUUCUUAUGUGUGUUGAAAACAAAUGUCAUCGAUAAAAUUAUAUUUGUUCCAUGUGAAAAUAUCGCUUUGGAAAAAAAAACAAAUAUGAAAUCACCAAUAGAACAAAUAUCAUAUACACACAAAUGGAAGGAAAAUUUUAUUCGAGCAAUUAUCUUGAAUAAAACUUUAUUUCGAUACGUCCAAUAUACCGGAUCAAAAAUAUCACAUCGAUCAAAUCUGAUUUGAUUUAAUCAGAUAAAAAUAAAAGAAAAGAAGAAGAAACAACGCUGCAAAACGAAAGAUAAUUAAGAAAAAAUUGACGAAAAAGAUGCGAAGGAAUAGAUUUUUGUUAGAAUUCUAUAAAAUUCGGUAGAUUCGUUUAACAUUUCGCCUAGAAAAAGAAAGAAGAGAAGAAAAGGGAGGAAAAGGAAUAUCAACGGAAUAUUUAAUUUCUGAUAAAGUAAAGCUCGUAUUUUAUAUAAAAUUAAAAUGCACGGAUAAAAGGUUGAAUGACGGAAGUGUGAAGUAAGUUUUGAAGUAACGGUGUACCGCACGACGAUCUUACUUUUAUAUGCACGUAACGUAAAAAUUAUUGCCAGGAAUGGGAACGUUGCUUUCAGUUGUAAAUACAAUCACCAGUAAAAAAGAAGUUUACGCAUCGAGCCGAUAAUAAAAUUUUCAUCUGGGAGUAGAGUUAUGCAGACAACAAAGCUCGAACAGGGUCAGGUUGAUUAUAUUCGAUCGACAGUGUUUUUUAUCGAGAUUGAAAAAUAAAGGAAGAAAGGAAAGGAGAAUGAAAAAUUGAUACGCGAGGUUUGACGAUAAAGCGUUUAGAUUAACUUUAUUGCGAAAUCUGUUUCAAAAAGAUUAUUUAUUUUCCUUGAAAGUUUCCAACUGUUAAAUAACAUGCUAAGUAAAUCGUUUGCUCAUAUUCUCUUUCAACUUGUCUAAUUGGAAAAUUGUUUGAAAACGAAUUAGAAAAUUGUUGGAUAAACAAGAUGAUUUUAUAUUUCAUUUUAUUCAAUUAUUUUAUUCAAUGGAUUAAGUCAUUAAUUUUUUUCGAUUUUUUUUUAUUUUGAAUCGAUAUAAAAAUGUUAUAAAAAUGUUAACAUCACCAAGUUAUGACAACUCGGUAGAAAUAUGUUUCUGUGUCGCUACGGAGAAGAUAUAUAAAAAGAUCUAGAAAAAUGUCUCGGAGAAAGCAGAAGAAUUUUUCAUGUCUGUCUCUUUCAUACGAUUCAGCAACACGCGAAUUUCACGUAUUGAAGAUUCAAAAUAAAAAAAAAAAAAAAAGAAGAAAAAAG